UCACGAAAGAAAAACUUUGGGUUCAGUGUCCCUUUAAGAUUGAUUAUAAUUAUAUGUAUUUGCAACAAAAUGCAACCUGUGUUUGUAAGACAAUAAGAUCCAUUUUGUAACAAACAAGCUGUUUCUGUAUUGUAUUAUAAAUCUUCCAUUUUAAAAUAGAUGUUUUUUAAUUGGCGUGUUGUUGUUAUGGCUGUAACUGCAUGAAAGGGUUAUCUGACAGUGACAAGGAAGUAUUUCACAGGCAAAAAACAGUUUAUAUCAUGGGGGAAAUCUAUCAAAGAGUUAGUACCAUCUGUCUUUGGAGAAAAAAACAACAGCUGGUGCAAGGAAUAGCAAGAUGUUGGACCUUCAUAUGACAAGAUGGGAAAUGACAAGAAACAGCUUUUUACUCUAUGAACAGCAGAAGAAACCUACAUCCCAAAAUCUCAUGUUUGAAAACCUCCAGAUGCCGUCCUGUUCUCACAUUUCCAUACCUUUGUUCAUCCUACAUCUGAAAGCUUUUCUCUGUGCUAUGGAAACACAAAGUAUGUGCAUUUAUCCUGCCUAGUAGCUGAGAAAUACAUUUUCAUAAUCCUAGUACAAAGAAGGUAUAAAAUAAUCCUUGUUUAGGAAAGAACGAGCUUCUGGAACAUUUUCUAGUCAUUUGUGCGAAACUAACAUAGGUGCUUUGGCAGAAACUUAUUAAGAUUACAGAUAGUUCCAUAUUCUAUAUUCUAGUACUAUCAGUGAAGUGAAUCACAAACAAUAAUUUAAGAAAUAUAUAUUUUAAGCCUGUACCUUCUUGCUUUAUUAAAGGGACAUUGUACACUAGAUUUUUCUUUGCAUAAAUGUUUUAUAUAUGAUCCAUUUAUAUAGCCCAUCUGGGUGUGUUUUUGUAAAAAUGUAUAGUUUUGCUUAUAUUUAAAAUAACAUUGUGCUGAUUUUCAGACUCCUAACCAAGCCCCUGAGGUUUUAGAUGUAUACUGAUGUAUACAGACUUCAGACUACUUCUGUUUGUAUAAUGUGUCUUUUCAUAUGCAGGGGAGGUUUCAUCUCAUCAACAGUGCUAAAUUGGGAGCUUCUAAAUCAAGAUUUACAUAAGAAAUAAGAAACAAAGGAAUCCAAUUCUACAAAAACUUAUAUUCUAUGUAUAACCAGGUUACAAAUAACAAUAUCAAAUUAAAAAAUAAAAAAUAAAAAAUAAAAUUUCUAUAAAAGAUGA